rfam:Colletotrichum higginsianum, IMI 349063, WGS project CACQ02000000 data, contig: cont1.8614
ACAUACGACCAUACCCACUGGAGAACUCGGGAUCCCGUCCGCUCUCCCAUAGAUAAGCCAGUGAGGGCCGGAUUAGUAGUUGGGUCGGUGACGACCAGCGAAUACCUGGUGUUGUAUGUA